CUCAGUCUGAAAGUGGACCGAAGCUGGAUUAAAACUGGUGUGACUGGGCCCUAGGAAGGGGGGAAUACGAUGGAGAAAAGGAUGCAAAUAUUAACAUUUGCCAAUAUGACUUUAAAUUUCAGAGUUCUUAUCUAUCUUGUACAUGUCCAUAUUAGUUCUGAAUUAUCUGCUGCUGCUGUUACUUAUCUUGAUGAUAUUAAUGCUUUUUCAAGGGGUGAAGGGAAAGAGACCAGUGUGAUUGUGUUAGGGAAAUGUGAAAGAGGGCACGUGAGGAGGAGAAGANUGGGAUUGAAUAAGUUCCAUUUCUGGACCACAGUGUAGAAGAGAAAGUGGGCCUCCAGACACAGGCUAAAACCAGUGAUUCUCUCAGCACUAUAUUAACAAUGCCUCGUGUAAUUACAGCAUUCCCAGCACAGUCACAAAUUAGUUAAGUGAUAAGCCAUAAUACUGCUAUUAUGGGAAAUCCGGCAAUGAUGCUCAUUACAAAACAGGCUGGCCGACAUGAAGGUAAGCCUGGAAUUGCUCUUCACAUCUGGUGAGGAUCAGCAAACACAGGAUAUGGGGGUUUUUUGAUCCUGCAUUUCCCCUUGUUGUCUGGAGGAAGCCGAAAACUCCAACAAGCUAUAAUGUCUUACAUAACUAUUGAUAGGACCUCAACAUCUUGUAUGAUAGUCUCAAGCUCAUUUUGCUAUCUCCCUCUUCCCUCCAGAAAGCAUUCUGUUCACUGUUCCCCCUCCCACUCCUCACCAUUGUUUGAGCGGAAAGACUUGAGUCGUAAAUCUUCACACAUCUUCUUCCGUAACAGCAAAGAUUUGGAUCUCCAGGCUCAUCAUUUGACCAAAACACUUCUCUUCCUGCCAGUGGACGCCAAGAGAGCCCAACUACUUCUAGGAACCAUCAAAACAGCUCGGAGCCAAGGUGGCACUUCAGUGACAACAGUUCUAGGCAUGAAGAGGUGCCUGUAGAUGCUUUGUUGGGAAGCCAAGGGCCCAGAGAUAAGCCUGAAGCCUUGGCAGGGAAGUCCAAAGGAUGGAGUCUUCUAUCCAGACGCCACAGAGUUCUCCGUCGGUCAAUAAGUUGGCCUGAAAACCUGUCCACGAGUGAGGCUGCAGAACGAAGGCAAGCAGAUUUCCCAUCAGAUGAAGUUCCUCUCGAGC
rnacentral:lncRNA from 1 species